UUUGACAAAAGAAGAAGAAGAAGAAAUGUCUCCAUGGUGUUAAUAACAAUAUAACUUUCAACUCGUCCCUUCAUUCAGUCCACAGGACGUCUUCUUCUGCUGUCUAACUAAACGAUCAGUGUCGCAGCAGACGGUCUGAAACCAACAUGGCCGACUUUAACUGAUCACUGCAGCUCCUCCAGUCAGACUCAGUGACAUCAUCAACCGUCAGCUGCCGCCUGCGACAAAGAUCUGACACACAUCACAUCCCUCCACUGAUGACAUCACCAGGCAUCCAACACUGAGCCGGUGGUGAUGUCAUCAUACGCCUCCAGCCACCAUUUUACUUUAAUAUGUCAAGCUACCUCUGUGCAGUGCAUUAUGGGAGAGCAGCAUCCAUCACUCUGAAUAAACACACACACACACACACACACACACACACACACACACACAGUGUGACUGAGUCUGCAGGUCAGCAUCACGUGACCUCUGACCUCCUCACUACAGUCUGUUACAGGUCCAGCUGUUGGCAAAGUGUUCUGGUGAUAAAGCCUCUGUGGGCUCACAUUCCCUCAUGUUGCCUCAGAAACUGCCGUGAAGCUGCACUUUGGCCAGUGAACGCAGUUAAACUCUGCGGCCAGAGUUCUGGCACCAAACUCCGUUCGGAAAAGGCUGAAAUUCAGAUGCCUUUGCUUUUUAGCUCGUUUCUGUUGAAGAACAGACACAACUCGGACUUCUUUAAGUUUGCACUUGUCUCCUGCUUGAUUCGUCAUCGACACAUCAAACUAACAGCGACUUAUUCUGAUGACAUUUUGAGUUGUUUACUGAUUCAGAUGCUCGCAAACAGGAUCCGGCUGCACUCCGAGAGUCGCAGUCAACUGAAGAGAAGUUUGACAUCAGAUCAGCUGCAGCUCGGUGGAUUUAUUCAAAGAGUUCAUCAGAUUCAAACGUACGACGGAAACUUUAAAUUCACAAGAAGAAGAAAAGAAGCCACAUGUCAAAACAUUCUGGACUGACGAAUAAACUCCGAACCACGAACUGGCCCGGUGAACACUCACCGUGUCCGCAGCUGCCUCCGGGACUCCGGGACAAAAACACAAGAACCCACAGAACCAGCUUCAUCUUCUCAUUCUGUGGAUGUGAAACCGUCAUCCGCAUGAACCGGGUCAGUUCGGCUCGGCUCCUCUCCCUCACUGAAGCCUCAUCUCCAGCCGGACAAACAGGAUGUCCACCGGAGAAACGACUGGGUCCAGCGGUCCGGACCAGAACAUGUUAAACUCAUACAGUCGGAUCCAAGUCGCUGAGGAACAAACUGCUGAUUAAAGAUGAAAGUUCGCCUCCUUCGUGUUCCGCUCAGGAGAGAAAACACAGAGCUGGUGUAACUUUGGACCAGCAGCAGAACCUCGCGUCCCGCCGCGGCUCGUCUCAGGCACAAAAUGGCGUCAAGGCAGCGAUAUUACAGCACCACGACACCGGAAAUCAACCGCCUUCAAAAAUAAAAGACGCUCAUAUUUUGAAAAACAGAUUUUAAAUAUUUUACGUACAACUUGUAUUUAAUUUGAACGUUUAUAUUUCAUACAUAUUGACUGAAUCAGUAACAUAAGUCAUUAAAAAAACAAAUAUCAGAAGCCUUACUGGUCAGUUUAUAUUUCACUUGUAAUAGAGACAUUUAGUUUUCAACAAUUUCUGUCAUUCAUUAAUAAACAACUAUUUACAUA